ensembl:snoRNA SNORA73 Small nucleolar RNA SNORA73 family
CCAACCUGGAUACUCCUGGGAGGUCACUCUCCCCGGGCUCUGUCCAAGUGGCACGGAGGAGCACAGGGCUCAGCCUCGUGAUGUACACUCCUUUUCCACAACGUCCAAGAUCAAGCCGGGCCUUGAACCUGCGCCUGCUUAUUGCUACGGCUUCUCAGAGUCCCAUGGACAGUGACUGAGGAGACAAACCGCACAGGAAAUAGCC